rnacentral:rRNA from 1 species
ACGGGAGGCAGCAGUGAGGAAUAUUGGUCAAUGGUCGGAAGACUGAACCAGCCAAGUCGCGUGCAGGAAGACGGUCCUAUGGUUUGUAAACUGCUUUUGUACGGGAAUAAAGUUCAGGACGUGUCCUGUUUGGAAUGUACCGUAAGAAUAAGGGUCGGCUAACUCCGUGCCAGCAGCCGCGGUAAUACGGAGGACCCGAGCGUUAUCCGGAUUUAUUGGGUUUAAAGGGUGCGCAGGCGGAGGAUUAAGUCAGAGGUGAAAUUCUCAUGCUCAACAUGAGAACAGCCAUUGAUAAUGGUCCACUUGAGAGAUGGCGAGGAUGGCGGAAUGUGAUGUGUAGCGGUGAAAUGCUUAGAUAUGCCACAGAACACCGAUUGCGAAGGCAGCUGUCCAGAGAUCAUCUGACGCUGAGGCACGAAAGCAUGGGUAUCAAACAGGAUUAGAUACCCUGGUA